CACACACACACACACACACACACACACAUGCACUGAUAAUAUGUAUAUAUGGAAAUUUAUCGAUUUAAUAUUAUAUUGUUCCAUAAUUUGCUUUGCUUAAAUAUACUAUAAUGUACUUAAUUUUGUUUUGAGGAGUACAUACAUGUGCUAUAUUUCACUGACCAUGUGCACUGACGAAACUGUUAAUUAUUUUACCAAAUCCAAUACCUGACCUCCAGAGUGCCUUUAACAGUGCAACAUGACGAACACACAUUCUCUCUCUCUCUCUCUCUCUCUCUCUCUUCACUCUCUCUCUCUCUCUCUCUCUCUCUCUCUCUCUCUCUCUCUCUCUCUCUCUCUCUCUCUCUCUCUCUCUCAGAUCUUUAUUUAAUUAUAUAGAGGCAGUGUACCUUCAGUAUACACACUGUAGUAAUCUUUGAUAUGCUAUUUAGAUUCUUUCUUACGUUUAUAAAAAUAAAUUGUGCAUAUGAAAUACUUUAUAUAUUACAUCAAAGAAAAAACAUCACUGCCAGUAAGGAAAACAUAUAUGAUGCUGCAUUUGGCUCAUUUAUGUUCAAGAAAAUAUGGUUCAGCUGUGGCAGAGAUGUGUCAGCCUUGGGGAGGGCCAGUGUGCCAUGUGGUGUGUCAUGUGUCAGUAGAUCCCAGAGGUGGGGUGGCAUCUGCUUGGAGACACUUCUUUGUCACUCUUUCUGUAAACACAAAUUCAAUAUUGCCAGUAUUGCAUUACAUCUCAAUUACAAAUGUGGCAGCAAGAUCAGAUUCAAUUAAACACAGACAGCAGCAGUAGCUUGUAUGUAACACCUCUGUGGUGUGGUGUGUCCCACUGCUCUGCUGAGAGUAACGUGUCACAGACAAGUGCCUGAGUGUUAAUCAGGUGCAGGGAUGGAUUUUCUGGACUGUAUUUUUGCUAAAUAAAUUUGUUAAUGGAU